rfam:Schistosoma mansoni, Puerto Rico, WGS project CABG01000000 data, contig: 0077
AUCCAAUUGGCGAGUUCCAACUAGGACGAAGUGACGCGCGUCCUGGAU